UUAUUUUUUACAUUUGUGCUACUGUUCCUUGUCCUAUGGUAAAUAAUUUUUUCCUACCUUUUAAAAAAAUGAGAAAGGUGAUAACCUGAUAACAAAGAUAUUAUUCAAUGGUCGUAUUCAGCCGACGUAGCAAAGCGUUCCCGAUACGUAGCGGUAGCGGACAUGUCUUUGUACACUAGUACCUACUACAUCAGAAACUAGUAGAAACGGGAGUUAUGGACAUUUUAAUUCAAAACGAAAUGACCGAGGAUAAUUUGGUCAAAUGGCUUUGGAAUUAGCAGAACCAAUUCGAAUAUUUGAGGAUACUGAAGGUGAUGAGUGUCCAAUACCAAAAAAUCAGAAGUAUUACUAAGAGUGCAAGGAGUUAUGAAGAAAACUUAUUCUUAGAAUAUUUUUGAGGCCGACAUUUGUAAACAUAUUAAUUACCACAUAGCACGUUUUGGAGCAGCGAGACAUUUGAUAUGUUUAGAAGAGAUGCUAGAAGAGGAGCUACCACACCUGGAAGUAGAUAUUGCAGAUGAGGGUGGAAAUGAGGAGAGGAACCAAAUAGCAAAUAUGUUUUUAUAAUUUAUUGCUCUUUUUUUGUAAACUUUUAUUUCUUUCCUCCUGCAUUUUCUUGCUUCUUUCGAUGGCGUUUCGUAAGAGGUUACUUUCUUAUACUCAAGCUUCCUUGAUAUUUGUCAGCCUUCGUCAUAGAUAAAACAUUCUACUCUUUGACUCCCUAGUCCUGGUACUUCUAAAAUGAAAACAUGUUGUAAGCAGCAACCCAUCCCUUCGACAUAACUGGUGUUGACUACGCAGGUCCAUUUUCCAUGAAAAGUAAAACAGGUCUGAUAAAGGCAAUUCAUUUGGAAUUGGUAACCGACCUCACAAAGGAUGCACUUAUUUUAGCUUUACGUAGAUUUGUGUCUCGCAGAGGGAAACCGAGUCAAAUAUUCUCGGACAACGGAACUAAUUUUGUAGCAGCCAGUUUUGAAUUAAAUGCUUUAUACAAUUUUAUUAGAAAAAAUGGCAACGAUUUAAUUCAUUCCUUUGGAAAAGUAAAUUUUAACCAAUUCGUUUUCACUAAGAGUGACAACUUGCCCACAUUGAGUUUUACAAGGAUUUGUAAUUGUCAAGCAGUAGUUCUUGUGAUUGUUCUAGCAAACUUACAGCUUAAUCGUUUUCUUAUAGUUCCUGUAAUUCUUGUACACUAAAACAUAUUCUCUGGCAACAGCAAUUCCUAGCUCGGCGUUGCCAAUUAUAUUCGGAUUUCAGAUGCUGAUUUUGAGUUCUUAUGAAAAUUGGGCUAUUUUUUCAGAAAAAUUACGGCAAUGUGACAACUCAGUUAUUUGGCUGUGAUGCAUGCGCAUAAGAUCCACACCUCUACGAAAAUAUCAUAGCCACCUGCGGCGCAUCACUUUUUACCGUAGUAGGGUCACUAUAUUAUCUCAUAGCUAUGUGAUGAGAACGACAAGGCCGUAUUUGUCCAAAAUCGUAUCGGGACGUUCCGGGCUCGCGCGAGGGAGGCUGGCAAAGCGUUUAUGUGGAGAAAGAAUUUUCAUGGAGAGAAAAUAACCAUGAUUUGUUUACAUUACAAUUUUUUUUAAAUACAUCUAUUUGAUAAUAUUUCCAGUGACUCAGCUUAAAAAAUUCAGUUGCAUUUUAAUUAAUCAAAGAGCUAAAUGUGUUUGUUCAAAGGUUCUCAAUUAUUUUAAAUAAAUCAUUGCGGGCAUAGUAAAAUUGUAUUUACGUACCUUUUUACUAGGAAAAUUGCAUACGGCGAUUAUCACGAAUCAUGAAAGGUUAAUAAAAACGUGUGCCCAAUUGUUUUCACAGCUAAAAUUAUUGAUGAUUUUUAAAUUCUAAUUAAAUAAAUUAAAUACUUCAGCUGCGACUAUUUUCAGAAUAUGGUUGUCAAUGAAAACAUUUUGGAUUGUGCAAAAAAUUAACCAGCUACCUAGGAUACCCAAGAGCCAAAAAGUAAAAGUUACCUAAGUAGUUAUCAGGAUAAAAAGUAUGAAAAUUUUGAAAUUGCAUUAAAAUUUUAGAAAAAAAAGAAAACGCCAAAUUGCAAAAUAAAAAUCCCUUAGGUGUCCAAUGAAAUACCAACCUCCACCUUCAAUAGAAGUUGUAUCAAAACCAAAAACUGCAAAAAUAAUCAGUAAAAGAACAUGAAGCUCAUCGAUCAUUAAAACAAUACUGAAAAUAUAAAUUUUAAAUGUUACUGAAAGGAGGUAUCGAACACUAUUCAAACGAAGGAGUCUCAAACCACAGAUAUCGAGAGAUACGUGCAGGUGUUUAAGCAGUGGUAUCCUCGCUGAAAGUACUGGCAGAAACCUCCUUUGUUUGGUGUCUCUUCGACUGGAUUUUAAAUGGAAAUAAACCUGAUACAAUGUUCUUUUUACACUAAAAGAAACCGGCAGUAUCAGCGUUCAAUUUAUCACAAGCAAAGGAGAGAAAGAGAGGCCCCCAAUCUAGAUACCAAGAAAAAAAACACGUGUUGCAGCAUGAAGGCGAUACAACACACAAGAUACGUAUCACGAUUGGUAGGUAGUAAAUUCAUAGGGUAAUGCAGAACAGGAACAUAACUCCUUAACAAAUAGUUUUUCACAACGACUUUAUAUAUUAUUCAUGCAGAAGGUGUAACGGAACGAGGAUUAAAGCUUAAUAAAUAUAUGUAUGUUCGAGUUAUUGCAAAAAGAUAUCUCAACAGCACAGAACCAGAAUAUCAAGCAUCAGGAAAAGUUGAAGAGAUCGGUGUGUUCAUCUUAAGGAAGGGACAACAUAAUCAUGAACAGUUGAAGGACCAAAUGCAAGACAGGAGUUGCAAACAUGUGUAAGAAAGGAGACCAAAAGAAUAUAGGCAAUAGACUUGUGACAAGGUAAAGAUGUUAUUAAUGAUAAAAAUGUUUGUAGAAAUGUGUAGUACAUUACACUGCAUAACUGAAACUACAUAAGUAUUAAUAAGUUUCAAUUAUGUUAACGUAAUCUUAGAAAUGCCGAAGGUGUCUUACUUCAACUCAGUAUGUACCUGUAGGCAGAGGUUGAGGCAAUCGAAUGUACCUGUAAAACUGAAAGACUUGACUAGAGUUCUAGGAGCAAGCGAGUGACCUAGAUAUUAGUUUGGUUAUACAGUUUGGCAAAGCUUGGCAUGAGCCAUUUUUAUCGCAAGGUCCUGUAUGAAAGGAUAACCAAUUUGUUGGACCUACCCUUCAUCAAAUAUCGGCAUAAAUUUUGAUUCUUUUGUGGGUUUAGCAAGUAUUUUAUAUUUUUUCAGCAGGUAACCGUUACCUUUGUAUAAGUUAAGUAGUAAUUUUCGUAAAUAAACUUAGUUGACGUUUAUUAAAAACUCCUAAUAAGGUAUAUAAAGGUGGCCUUUGUCCUAAAAAUAAAAAAUAUUAGUAUAGGAUUUUACUUGGACAAGGCACUGUGGAUUGUAUGUCAAAUACAAGGAAAUGUGGAUGGAAAAAAAUUAUGGCGUAAAUACUAUGUUUUGGGAAGGAUUAUUAAAAUGCUUGUGCUUAAAA